UUUCAUCUCUGCUUUCCUCAUUCUCAUUCCGAGUUUCUCCAGAGCAUCCGAGUAUCGACACGAAAAGGUAUGAAUGUUAUUCAACUAUUAGUAUCAAGAGUUCAAAUUAAUCUGGAUUCUCAGGGAUUGACGUAGAAAUUACUGUUAGGCUUUCUGUGCUCGAGCAUCUCAUUCUUUACAGUUUACACUGCCAAUAAAGAGAAGUUAAUCUUAGCUACAUGCGUGGGACUACAGGAUUAUCGCGUGGAAAGUAUAUCCUUAAACAGAUCAAUUUAAUAAGACAGUCAAUGGGGAUGUAUACAACUUCUAUCCAGAAGAAAGGAAAUAAUGAAAUUACCAAAGAAGGACCAGUUACUGGCAAUAUACAUGAACCGAUUUUGGCCUUCAACAAACCUCAGCUUCCACCUGGUCUUGGGCCCAUAAUAAUUUUCUCAUUGCUGGAGACUAGACCUGAUUGGGAGGAGAAUGAUAACGAGAAAUAACAGGACGUUGAGUGCGUAGCUGACCAAUCGAGCAAGGAACUUCCAGAGCUUAAUGUAGAAAACAAGUACUGGACGUAUAAAUGGUUCCACAAAUAAUUUGUAUAUCCUUAGUAGAAACUGAAGUACAGCGUAGGGCUUCUUUAGGAACUCUGUACAGUUUAGACACCAUAUGAGUUUUAUAAUGAUUUUAGUUUCUCAUUUGUGUCAAAACGAAGACAACAUCAGAUAGCUAAAAUAGAUAAACAUACUCUCAGUUGCUUGUGGGAAUUCGUCGGAUAAGGAAGUAACCAACUUCAAUAGGGUCUGAGAUUCUCGGUAUAGACACCAUGAUCAUGAACAAGUUCAAAAUUAUUAGUUAAACAAGUUACAUAACAGCAGAA